rnacentral:rRNA from 1 species
AUUAAUGCAAGUCGAACGAACUCUGGUAUUGAUUGGUGCUUGCAUCAUGAUUUACAUUUGAGUGAGUGGCGAACUGGUGAGUAACACGUGGGAAACCUGCCCAGAAGCGGGGGAUAACACCUGGAAACAGAUGCUAAUACCGCAUAACAACUUGGACCGCAUGGUCCGAGUUUGAAAGAUGGCUUCGGCUAUCACUUUUGGAUGGUCCCGCGGCGUAUUAGCUAGAUGGUGGGGUAACGGCUCACCAUGGCAAUGAUACGUAGCCGACCUGAGAGGGUAAUCGGCCACAUUGGGACUGAGACACGGCCCAAACUCCUACGGGAGGCAGCAGUAGGGAAUCUUCCACAAUGGACGAAAGUCUGAUGGAGCAACGCCGCGUGAGUGAAGAAGGGUUUCGGCUCGUAAAACUCUGUUGUUAAAGAAGAACAUAUCUGAGAGUAACUGUUCAGGUAUUGACGGUAUUUAACCAGAAAGCCACGGCUAACUACGUGCCAGCAGCCGCGGUAAUACGUAGGUGGCAAGCGUUGUCCGGAUUUAUUGGGCGUAAAGCGAGCGCAGGCGGUUUUUUAAGUCUGAUGUGAAAGCCUUCGGCUCAACCGAAGAAGUGCAUCGGAAACUGGGAGACUUGAGUGCAGAAGAGGACAGUGGAACUCCAUGUGUAGCGGUGAAAUGCGUAGAUAUAUGGAAGAACACCAGUGGCGAAGGCGGCUGUCUGGUCUGUAACUGACGCUGAGGCUCGAAAGUAUGGGUAGCAAACAGGAUUAGAUACCCUGGUAGUCCAUACCGUACACGAUGAAUGCUAAGUGUUGGAGGGUUUCCGCCCUUCAGUGCUGCAGCUAACGCAUUAAGCAUUCCGCCUGGGAGUACGGCCGCAAGGCUGACACUCAAAGGAAUUGACGAGGGCCCGCACAAGCGGUGGAGCAUGUGGUUCAAUUCGAAGCUACGCGAAGAACCUUACCAGGUCUUGACAUACUAUGCAGAUCUAAGAGUUAGACGUUCCUUCGGGAAAUGGAUACAGGCGUGCAGGUUGUCGUCAGCUCGGUCGUGGAAGUGGGUUAGUCCGCACGAGCCCACCCUUAUAUCGGUGCAGCUUAAGUGGGCCUCUGUGGGACUGCCGUUACAACCGGAGAAGGG